UACGUAGGGGGCAAGCGUUGUCCGGAUUUAUUGGGCGUAAAGAGCGUGUAGGCGGCCAGGUAGGUCUGCUGUGAAAACUCGAGGCUUAACCUCGAGCUGUCGGCGGAAACCAUCUGGCUAGAGUCCGGAAGAGGAGAAUGGAAUUCCCGGUGUAGCGGUGAAAUGCGCAGAUAUCGGAGGAAGACACCGGUGGCGAAGGCGGCG
rnacentral:rRNA from 1 species